rnacentral:rRNA from 1 species
UACGAAGGGGGCUAGCGUUGCUCGGAAUCACUGGGCGUAAAGCGCACGUAGGCGGAUCGUUAAGUCAGGGGUGAAAUCCUGGAGCUCAACUCCAGAACUGCCUUUGAUACUGGCGACCUUGAGUUCGGGAGAGGUGAGUGGAACUGCGAGUGUAGAGGUGAAAUUCGUAGAUAUUCGGAAGAACACCAGUGGCGAAGGCGGCUCACUGGCCCGGUACUGACGCUGAGGUGCGAAAGCGUGGGGAGCAAACAGG